rnacentral:rRNA from 1 species
AUGUCUCCCGCCACCCUGACGACGAGCACGGUGUCUGCUCCACACUACCCUAGUACAACAUGGUGCUCAGAUCUGUCAUGGAGGAAACGCGAUGCAGGUUCAGACAUUGCACAACUGAAGGAAAGUGUUUCACAGCUUGAGAAAAAAGUGCUAGUACAUUGGAUAAGAACAUUGGCACAUGUGACUGGGAGCCCAAAAGACUAUUUCCUGGACGGUGUUCUAUGGAAUCUUCACAUACAUGAAACUAAAAUUUAUAUCAUAGUUGAUGCCUUGAAAGGAAAUUUGAUUAGAAAUUCUCUUGAUGUUGUAGACGUUGGAAAUGUUCCUGAAGACGGAAUUUAUAAUAUGAAUGUGAAGUACUUGUGCAGAUUCCUUCUGGUUUAUUUCAAUGGAUGCCUCGUCAUUGUGUAUCUAAAUGAUACCACUGGCAUAUUAUCUGCCGGGAAAACUAUUAACUGCCGGGAGAACAAGUCUGCCGAGAGAAUAGAAACUGCCAAGAGAAAUUGGAACAUGAGGGCAUACAAACUGCCGGGAGAUCUUUAUCUGUCGGGAAUUAUAAUCCCCGACAGUCAUUCUUCUGGCAGUUCUGUCUGCCGGGAGAAAACCAUUCCCGGCAGUUUGCCUGCCGUUCUAAAGUCGUCAACCUCGCCUCCGUCCACACGCCUCUGGUUUCGCUCCCUUCGGCACCGCCACAAGGACUGGUUGACGGGGCCGGUGCGUCAAGGUGGACGUCUCCUUGCUUCCCACCACGUCUCCCGCCACCCUGACGACGAGCGCAGUGUCUGCUCCCCACUACGCUACUACAACAUGGUGUUCAGAUCUGUCAUGGAGGAAAUGCGAUGCAGGUGCUACCAGCGAAAGGAUUGGAGAUUGGUUCUAGUAGUUGUAGGUUCAGCCAUUGCACAACUGAAGGCAAGUGUUUCACAGCUUGAGAAAUUCAGUGGUGCCCUAUCUGAAUACUCAACCUGCAUGAAACAUUGCACUGGGCAGAAAAUAAUUUUAGAAAGGAAUGCCAACACGUCGAUGCAUAGCAUUAAACGCUUGCCCAAAAGAGUCCACAGCUCCCUGCGCUCAAGCAUUAUAUUGUCUGACCUCCUGAGGGUCGUUGAGGAGUUGGCAUAUAAUAGCUGCGACACAAAUGCUUAA